CGGAUGCUAACGCAAUGUG
rnacentral:sRNA from 1 species